GUGCUCACUUCUGCAACACAUAUACUAAAAUUGGAAUGAUACAGAGAAUAUUAGCAUGGCCCCUGUGCAAGGAGACAACCAAAUUUGUUAAGCAUCCCUUAUUUUA